UACGUAGGGUGCAAGCGUUGUCCGGAAUUAUUGGGCGUAAAGAGCUCGUAGGCGGUUUGUCGCGUCUGCUGUGAAAACCCGAGGCUCAACCUCGGGCCUGCAGUGGGUACGGGCAGACUAGAGUGCGGUAGGGGAGAUUGGAAUUCCUGGGUGUAGCGGUGGAAUGCGCAGAUAUCAGGAGGAACACCGGUGGCGAAGGCGGGUCUCUGGGCCGAUACUGACGCUGAGGAGCGAAAGCGUGGGGAGCGAACAGG
rnacentral:rRNA from 1 species